CCUGAGAAACCCAAAAGAUCGAAUGGGGAGAUUCAUCGUCAGCUCAUUUUGUAUAUAUGCAAGCUAUGAUAUGGGUUACUACUUGUAGUAUUGCCUGUACAUUCUUGUAUAUUUAUUUGCAAGAUGUUGUCGGCGUGCACUUCUCCCCUAGUAGGACGUCGCGACCCGUUGAGUGUCGGUCUACGGCCCAAGUGGGAGCUUUUAAUAAAUUUUAUUUAUUGAAAACCCUUGGUGUUUCCUGACUGGCACUCGUCGGUAUUCGUAUGGUAUUGAGCCGCAUAUUAUAUGCGUCCCUAUCCGUCGCAAGCGCGGUUAGUUACUGAUAGUACGGACCUAGUGCCGUCGUUGGUGCUAAUCAGCUGUUGGUUGUAUGGAAUUCUAGGACUGGCUCGUUGAAAUACCGGUCAGCGAUGCUACUGCUUUGGG
rnacentral:rRNA from 1 species